GACGAACGCUGGCGGCGUGCUUAACACAUGCAAGUCGAACGGAAAGGCCCCUUUGGGGGUACUCGAGUGGCGAACGGGUGAGUAACACGUGAGUAACCUGCCCUUGACUUCGGGAUAACUUCAGGAAACUGGGGCUAAUACCGGCUAGGAAUCCUUGCUGCCUGGUGGGGGUUGGAAAGCUUCGGCGGUUUGGGAUGGACUUGGUGCUCAUCAGCUUGUUGGUGGGGUAGUGGCUUACCAAGGCUUUGACGGGUAGCCGGCCUGAGAGGGCGACCGGCCACAUUGGGACCGAGAUACGGCCCAGACCCCUACGGGAGGCAGCAGGGGGGAAUAGUGCACAAUGGGCGGAAGCCUGAUGCAGCAACGCCGCGGGCGGGAUGACGGCCUUCGGGUUGGAAAACGCUUUCAGCAGGGGCGAAGCUUGUGGUGACGGUACCUGCAGAAGAAGCACCGGCUAACUACGUG
rnacentral:rRNA from 1 species